CCAAUUCAUAAGAUUUACGUAAUUUUCCUCUUGGAUUGUUUAUGAAAUUGGGUGUAAGCAGUUAGUUUUCUCAGAUUGUUAAUGUUGUACAAUUUCUAAACUCUACCAUUUUUCACAGUGGAGGAAAAAAAACAUAUGGACGAGGUGGUUAUAAUCCUAUCCUAGGGUUUGAGAAUGUUGUCUACUUCAUUGCCAGCAUACCAUAUACUUCAUUGCGAAUUCAUCUUCCGGUAGUUGAUUUCAUCUACCAGUAGCAUAUCUCAGGAAAUUGUGGCUAAUAUGAUGAAAGCCUUUAGGAAGUGACGAGAUUCCUUGGUGAAAAGCUUCAAUGACAUGGAGGGUAUUAAAAUAUCAGAACCACAGGUUUGCAAAAUCAAUUAUAUUAUAUCACUUACCUACCUUUUUCCUUUUUACUUCAAAUUUAAACUUCCCAUAAUUUUAAAUCUUUUUCUAUGUGAUUGAUCACAAA